rnacentral:rRNA from 1 species
GAUGAACGCUGGCGGCGUGCCUAAUACAUGCAAGUCGAGCGAACGGACGAGAAGCUUGCUUCUCUGAUGUUAGCGGCGGACGGGUGAGUAACACGUGGAUAACCUACCUAUAAGACUGGGAUAACUUCGGGAAACCGGAGCUAAUACCGGAUAAUAUUUUGAACCGCAUGGUUCAAAAGUGAAAGACGGUCUUGCUGUCACUUAUAGAUGGAUCCGCGCUGCAUUAGCUAGUUGGUAAGGUAACGGCUUACCAAGGCAACGAUGCAUAGCCGACCUGAGAGGGUGAUCGGCCACACUGGAACUGAGACACGGUCCAGACUCCUACGGGAGGCAGCAGUAGGGAAUCUUCCGCAAUGGGCGAAAGCCUGACGGAGCAACGCCGCGUGAGUGAUGAAGGUCUUCGGAUCGUAAAACUCUGUUAUUAGGGAAGAACAUAUGUGUAAGUAACUGUGCACAUCUUGACGGUACCUAAUCAGAAAGCCACGGCUAACUACGUGCCAGCAGCCGCGGUAAUACGUAGGUGGCAAGCGUUAUCCGGAAUUAUUGGGCGUAAAGCGCGCGUAGGCGGUUUUUUAAGUCUGAUGUGAAAGCCACGGCUCAACCGUGGAGGGUCAUUGGAAACUGGAAAACUUGAGUGCAGAAGAGGAAAGUGGAAUUCCAUGUGUAGCGGUGAAAUGCGCAGAGAUAUGGAGGAACACCAGUGGCGAAGGCGACUUUCUGGUCUGUAACUGACGCUGAUGUGCGAAAGCGUGGGGAUCAAACAGGAUUAGAUACCCUGGUAGUCCACGCCGUAAACGAUGAGUGCUAAGUGUUAGGGGGUUUCCGCCCCUUAGUGCUGCAGCUAACGCAUUAAGCACUCCGCCUGGGGAGUACGACCGCAAGGUUGAAACUCAAAGGAAUUGACGGGGACCCGCACAAGCGGUGGAGCAUGUGGUUUAAUUCGAAGCAACGCGAAGAACCUUACCAAAUCUUGACAUCCUUUGACAACUCUAGAGAUAGAGCCUUCCCCUUCGGGGGACAAAGUGACAGGUGGUGCAUGGUUGUCGUCAGCUCGUGUCGUGAGAUGUUGGGUUAAGUCCCGCAACGAGCGCAACCCUUAAGCUUAGUUGCCAUCAUUAAGUUGGGCACUCUAAGUUGACUGCCGGUGACAAACCGGAGGAAGGUGGGGAUGACGUCAAAUCAUCAUGCCCCUUAUGAUUUGGGCUACACACGUGCUACAAUGGACAAUACAAAGGGCAGCGAAACCGCGAGGUCAAGCAAAUCCCAUAAAGUUGUUCUCAGUUCGGAUUGUAGUCUGCAACUCGACUACAUGAAGCUGGAAUCGCUAGUAAUCGUAGAUCAGCAUGCUACGGUGAAUACGUUCCCGGGUCU